UACGGAGGGUGCGAGCGUUAAUCGGAAUUACUGGGCGUAAAGAGUGCGUAGGUGGUUAUAUAAGUUAGCUGUGAAAUUCCUGGGCUUAACCUGGGCGAGUCAGCUAAUACUGUAUGACUGGAGUAUGGGAGAGGGUAGUGGAAUUUCCGGUGUAGCGGUGAAAUGCGUAGAGAUCGGAAGGAACACCAGUGGCGAAGGCGGCUACCUGGCCUAAUACUGACACUGAGGCACGAAAGCGUGGGGAGCAAAC
rnacentral:rRNA from 1 species